UCAAUUGGUAUUUUGGAGAGACGAUCAUGUGAAAGUUAUUGUAUGCGCGGCGUGUAUCCGGUGUAUUCUUUAAAGAUGGGGAAAAUGAGGAAUUCGUUAUCUUUGGCAACCUUGAUCUACAAGAUCUUUAAUGGUGGUUCUCAUUUUCGAAGUGAACUUGUUGUACUGUAUGGAUAGAAAACAAGGAAUCAAGUUCAUUAAGUGCAGAUAUUUGGAUUAGUUUACUCGUAUGUUUCGGAAGCUUUACAACAUGUGAGUAUGUUGUUCACCAAAUAUUAUACUUCUCUCCCCAUGAUCCAGUCUAUCUUGUUCUCUUGAAUAGUGG